AUAAAAAAGAGCAAAAGAAGGGCGUAUGGGGGAUGCCUAGGGUCUCAGAGGCGAAGAAGGACGUGAUAAGCUGCGAUAAGCUACGGGGAUGAGCACACAUCAAUUGAUCCGUAGAUUUCCGAAUGGGGCAACCCAGUUAGUUGAAGACUAACUAUUCAUACUAGGUAUGAAAGCGAACGUGGGGACCUGAAACAUCUAAGUACCCAUAGGAGAAUAAAACAACAGUGAUUCCGAGAGUAGUGGCGAGCGAAAUCGGAGCAGCCCAAACCGGCCUUGUUACGGCA
rnacentral:rRNA from 1 species